UUUAUUUUUAUUUUUUCGUUUAUUUUUUCGUUUUUUCGUUUUUUUUUUAAACACGUGGGCUUCGCCUAGCGAGCAUGACAGGUCAAGAAAUUCCUCUGAGCGUAGGUGAUUCUGGUGGCUUUUCUUGGGACUCGCUAGGCGACCCAUUCUGCUCGCCUAGCGAGCAUGACAGCUCAUGAAUAAACUUUUGCUCCUUCAAGAUUAACGUUUUGACUGACGAAUAGACCCCAUUUGAACCUGUUGGAAGUAUCUCAAGCCAUUCCCUUGUGUUGACUGAUCAUCUAAAU
rnacentral:lncRNA from 1 species